UUCAAAUAGCUUAUAAAGAGUAUAACAUUGAAGAUGUUAGGGAGGUUAAUAAAUCUUUGAAUA
rnacentral:tRNA from 1 species